rnacentral:rRNA from 1 species
AGGAUAAACGCUGGCGGCGUGCAUGAGACAUGCAAGUCAAACGGACGAUCGGGGUUCGCUCUGAUCGUUAGUGGCGGACGGCUGAGUAACGCGUAGGUGACCUGCCCCGAAGUGGGGAAUAACUGCCCGAAAGGGUGGCUAAUACCGCAUGUGGUGGUGCGUUCGAUCGCACCAGUAAAGCCGCAAGGCGCUUCGGGAGGGGCCCGCGUCCGAUUAGCUCGUUGGUGAGGUAACGGCUCACCAAGGCGACGAUCGGUAGGUGGUCUGAGAGGACGAUCACCCAGACUGGGACUGAGACACGGCCCAGACUCCUACGGGAGGCAGCAGUCGGGAAUUUUGCGCAAUGGACGAAAGUCUGACGCAGCAACGCCGCGUGAGGAUGAAGGCCUUCGGGUUGUAAACCUCUUUUCCAGGGAAGAUAAUGACGGUACCUGGCGAAUAAGUCACGGCUAACUACGUGCCAGCAGCCGC